rnacentral:tRNA from 1 species
GCGGCUAUGGUUCAAUGGUAGAACUCUUCCUUGCCAAGGAAGGGAUAGGGGUUCGAUUCCCCUUAGCCGCUCCA